rnacentral:rRNA from 1 species
GACGUAGGGCGCGAGCGUUUGUCCGGAUUUAUUGGGCGUAAAGAGCUCGUAGGCGGCUUGUCGCGUCGACUGUGAAAUCCCGAGGCUCAACCUCGGGUCUGCAGUCGAUACGAGCAAACUAGAGUGUUGCAGGGGAGACUGGAAUUCCUGGUGUAGCGGUGAAAUGCGCAGAUAUCAGGAGGAACACCGGUGGCGAAGGCGGGUCUCUGGGCAACAACUGACGCUGAGGAGCGAAAGCGUGGGGAGCGAACAGG